rnacentral:misc_RNA from 1 species
GAUGAAGAACGUAGCGAAAUGCGAUAAGUAGUGUGAAUUGCAGAAUUCAGUGAAUCAUCGAAUCUUUGAACGCACAUUGCGCCCCUUGGUAUCCCGAGGGGCAUGCCUGUUCGAGCGUCAUUUCACCACUCAAGCCUGGCUUGGUGUUGGGCGACGUCCUCUUUGGGGACGCGCCUCGAAACGCUCGGCGGCGUGGCACCGGCUUUAAGCGUAGCAGAAUCUUUCGCUUUGGAAGUCGGGGCCCCGUCUGCCGGAAGACCUGCUCGCAAGGUUGACCUCGGAUCAGGCAGGGAUACCCGCUGAACUUAAGCAUAUCAAUAACGAGGA